rnacentral:rRNA from 1 species
UGGGGAAUAUUGGACAAUGGAGGGAACUCUGAUCCAGCAAUUCUGUGUGUGUGAAGAAGGUUUUAGGACUGUAAAACACUUUUAGUAGGGAAGAAAAAAAUGACGGUACCUACAGAAGAAGCAACGGCUAAAUACAUGCCAGCAGCCGCGGUAAUACGUAUGUUGCGAGCGUUAUCCGGAAUUAUUGGGCUUAAAGGGCAUCUAGGCGGUAAGACAAGUUGAAGGUGAAAACCUGUGGCUCAACCAUAGGCUUGCCUACAAAACUGUUGAACUAGAGUACUGGAAAGGUGGGUGGAACUACACGAGUAGAGGUGAAAUUCGUAGAUAUGUGUAGGAAUGCCGAUGAUGAAGAUAACUCACUGGACAGAAACUGACGCUGAAGUGCGAAAGCUAGGGGAGCAAACAGG